rnacentral:lncRNA from 1 species
AGACAAGGUCUUGAUAUGUUGCCAAGCUGGUCUCGAAUGCCUGCUUCAAGUGAUCCUCCCUCCUUAGCCUCCUAAAGUGCUGUGCCCAGCCAUGAAAUAGCAACUUUUAAAGGAGAACACAGAAUUUGCUACACACUGAAUACAAAAAUGAAACCAUCUAAGUCGGGAUCCAGAGAGCUCCUUCUAUUCCCUCUAGGUGCCCCAGGCCAUCCCAACCUACCCUAGUAAAAACAUUUCCCCAGUCCUGCAGUUUUAGGAAUGAAUGCAUAAAAAUAACAAAAGGUGGCAGUGGGUGAGGCUAUAUGAUAGCUAAGAAGCCUGUGCGAUGAGUCAAGGCUAUUGUCAUCUUGAAGCUAGGUGCGCUUGCCGUAUUUUCUAUCUCCUUUGGUUUUCAUGGCCCCUACCAUUGUCAGGUUCCUCUAGUUAGAAUUUGUGUGAGCAGUCGAAUUUGACAGGUGAUGAUCAUCUGGGUUACAGAAAGGAAGCACGUCAAAGGGUUUGCUAUAAUGACAAGAAAUUACAGAGCCGCAAUAUUCAGUGUGAUGCAGCACAAAAUCCUCUCCCUGAGAGCUGAAACUGUGUAUCAAGCCAAAGCAGUGUUGGUCUGUAUGGAGCGGUCACCGGCUACCUUUAGUGAUAACGUUGCUAGGAUAUGAAACUCCAAAUGCACUGUUAGUGUGAAAAUGGGAUUUUUAUAUUUGAAAAAAAAAAAGAGGUUGGGGGAGAAAGGAAGAAUAAGGAAAAAAGAAAGAAAAGAAAAGUCAGGAAAACAGUCAGUCCCUGGUGCUUUUCCUGGGCAUUAGAGGCACAGGGAUGACAUCACCAGCAGCCUAUCAGGGCUCUCCAGCUUUGUUCAGGUUCUGAAGCCAUGUCAUCAUCGCCGCUGUAGCCCAGAAAUGAAAAUAGAACCAUCUCUAAAUAUACAACAAUGAGAGUCAAGCACUGCUUUAAAAGGAUGAGAGAACCAAGAAAAACUCCUUAAAUCCUUAAAUCAUAGAGUCUUCCUUUCAUAAAGAAACUAGAAUUUGCCUUCUGGAGCCACUAACCCCAGUAUUUAUUUUAGUCUGCUUGAGACUUUACAAACUGGCAGUUAAAGCUAAUUAAAACAUGACUGACACCACCAUCAUUCCAGUUUGCUCCUGGAUGUGGGACAGAGGCAGGUAGACUCUUCCCUAACAGGCAGCAGCAGGAUUAUGGCCACAGUGUCAAAGGGACAGUUUAUUUGGUUUGGAUAUGGGGACAUAGGACUCCCCAGAAAGGUGGGCAAGUGGCUGUUAUUGUUAGUAGGUUUCACUUAGCUAAAAGCACAGUUUACAGUUGCUGAAGUUUGAUUGAUCUGUUGAUAAACACUAAUGUUUUCCAGUUGACAAUUUCUCCAUGUUAAUUUCUUUAACGCUGGCAGACCUGCCUGGAAGGGACCUAUAAAUAGUAUCAGUGUCAUC